AACGAACGCUGGCGGCAUGCCUAACACAUGCAAGUCGAACGAAGGCUUCGGCCCUAGUGGCGCACGGGUGAGUAACGCGUGGGAAACUGCCUAUUGGUGGGGAAUAACGACGGGAAACUGUCGCUAAUACCGCAUAAGCCCUUCGGGGGAAAGAUUUAUCGCCGAUAGAUGUGCCCGCGUCCGAUUAGCUAGUUGGUGAGGUAAUGGCUCACCAAGGCGACGAUCGGUAGCUGGUCUGAGAGGAUGAUCAGCCACACUGGGACUGAGACACGGCCCAGACUCCUACGGGAGGCAGCAGUGGGGAAUAUUGGACAAUGGGCGAAAGCCUGAUCCAGCAAUGCCGCGUGAGUGAUGAAGGCCUUAGGGUUGUAAAGCUCUUUCGGGUGGGACGAUGAUGGCGGUACCACCAGAAGAAGCCCCGGCUAACUUCGUGCCAGCAGCCGCCGUAA
rnacentral:rRNA from 1 species